rnacentral:misc_RNA from 1 species
AGAUCUCUCAAAAUCUGGAACCUGUCCCACAAAUACAGUUUUUCAUACAUGAGAAGAAAACCACACCCAUGGUGUUGAUUUUCAAGAAGAAUUUAACAAAGCAAAGAAGAGCACCAAAGUGUGAAACAAUGAUAAUCAGAACAAGAUUUUAACAGAGACUACUACCACCAGAACCCAAAUGUCAUUCUUCAGAAUUAUGAUGGAUUACUGACAAAUGAUAUUAUAGCAAAUUUUUGAUAAAAACUAAAGUCAAGUUCUAACUGGUUGUCUUGCCUGCAUGGAUCUUCUUUCUCUAUUCAUUUCCAUCAAAUGCUAAAUUUUCAUUGAACAACUAUUGUCUCAUAUACUUCUCUUCUUAUCUACUCCCACUACUUGAAUCCAGUCACCUCCACACCUCUCUCAUUAAUCUUGCUCCUUCU